rnacentral:lncRNA from 1 species
UCUGAGGUUCCUCUAAUGCCAUUUCGGGUCCUAGUUUUCUGUGUUACCUGAAAGAUAAAAAAGGGGGAGUGAGCUUAUGACGACUCAGUGUGAGUCUAAUUUUUAAACCAUUAUAUAAAAUUGUUCAAACAGUAAAGCAUUUAACUUAUAUCAUCAUAGAAAAAUAAACAUAAUGCAAGGAUCACUUAGUAAAUCAAUGCAUGAACAUAAUAAAUUCAUGAUGCAAUUCAAUUUUUAAUUUUAAAUUCCCAUUCAUCCAUCAUAACCGCCCUCAAGCAUCGCUCGGCACACCAAAACACAUGUCAAUAACUUACCAUCUCCGAUUUCCCGAUGACAAUGGCCAUUCACUUGUCAUCUGUGACGAUGAAUUUUACAACAAUAACUUACCAUCUCGAUUGCCCAAUUUUGAUGGCAUUUUAAACUAUCAUCCUAGUUUACCCGGUUUUGAUGACAUUGAUACCUACUUCGUGCAGUACUGACUUUCAGUGUGAACUCAAUUUGCCACUUUCUCCUAUGGAACUCCUCCAUGCUAUUCAUCAUCAAUUGAUGCUAUGCUUAUCAAGCACAUUUAUUAUUUCAUACUAUCAUUUAAUGGCAUGUAUUCAUGCAUUCAUUCAUUUCAAUUUCACAUAUACAAUUCCUUCAUGCAAAAUAAAAACCUGUAACAAUAUAUUGAUAUUAGAUUUUUUAUCAUGUUUGUUCAGCUAACACAUACAUAACAAGUUCAUAUGUAGGGUUCGCACAUCUAGAGUUCACACAUCUAGGGUUUGCACAUCUAGGGUUCGCAUGUAUAAGGUUCACAUACUAAUUCAUAUAAAGGUUUGCAUACCAAAUCAUAUAGGGGUUCAUAUACUAAGCCCAUAGGUAUUUUCAUUCCUAAAGGUUCGCACACGUAAGUUUUCACAUACAUCAGGGUUCGUACAUCUAGAGUUCACAUAUAUGGGUUCGCACAUCUAGGGUUCGCGCAUAUAGGGUUCAUAUACUAAGUUAUAUGCGGUUCGCAUACUGAAUCCAUAAGGGUUUGCAUGUAGGUUUGUAUACAUGGAGGUUCGUACAUCUAAGGUUUGCGCAUAUUAAAUCACAUAUUAUAUAACAUGGGGGUUUGCAUAUUACAUCAUACUGUAUAACAUAGAGGUUCGUAUACCACGUCAUACUAUAUAACAUAGGGGUUCACAUACUAUGUCAUACUAUAUAACAUGGGGGUUCGCAUACUACGUUAUACUAUAUAACAUAGGGGUUCGCAUACUACGUCAUACUAUAUAUCAUGGGGGUUCGCAUACUACGUCAUACUAUAUAACAUUGGGGUUCACAUACUACAUCAUACUAUAUAACAUGGGGGUUUGCAUGUUAUGUCAUACUAUAUAACAUGGGGAUUCACAUACUACGUUAUACUACAUAAAAUAAGGGGUUUGCAUAUAUAAGACUUAUAGGGUUCGCAUAUAAAAGUUGUAGAGUUUACAUGUAUAAAACGUAUAGGGUUCGCAUCUAUACACUAAGGGAUUGCACAUAUAUUCCUCCUAAGGGUUCGCAAGAAAGGGUUCACACAAUAGAUUUGUAACACCCCUAACCCAUAUCCGUCGCCGAAAUAGGGCUACGAGGUAUUACCGAUCAAUCAUAAUACAAAAGCAUACAUUUAACAUACAUUAAGUAUUUCCAUAUAAACAUCAAUCAAACAUAACCACAUCGUCCCUUAAGAGGGCCUAUGAGGCCUUAAAACAUGCUUAGAAUAAGUUCGGGACUAAACCGAUAACAUACAAAUAUUUUUGAAACUUAGAAAAUUUUCUUACAUUUAAGGGUCACACGCUUGUAUGAACAGGCCGUUGCCUCACACGGCUACCAGACAUGCUCGUGUCACAAGCCGUGUGAAAAUAGAGCAUACAUACUGACUUACACCACACGGUCAUGUGCCUUAGCCGUGGGAAAUCUGGAGGGGUUACUGACUUAGGUCACACGACUGACCAUAUGCCCGUGUGUCUGGCCCGUGUACCCUUCGAAAUGGCUACAUACGCCUAUGUGCCAAGGCUGUGUGCCUCACACGACCACCAAACACACCUGUGUGUUUAGGCCGUGCACAAGACUGACUUGAAUCUCUAAUUAUUUCCCAGGGGUCACACGGCCAUGUACUAAGGCCAUGUGCCACACAUAGUUGAACCACACGCCCUUGUGCUCAGCUGUGUGGAGUGAAAAUAGGCUUGAUUUAAGCCACAUUUCUCACCCUCCUCAAGCAUACCUAAACCACAUCAAAUUUCAUCAUUUCCAUACAUAUAUGAACAACCAAAACAUGCUAAUUCAUUCACAAUUUAUACCAUUUAUAAACCAUCCACUUAACUACUCAAAUCCAUAACCAAAACAUACCCAAUCAAUAUGCCAAAGUCAUCAAACUUACUUAACUUCUAAAUGCACUUUCUCAACAUUCUAUCAUCUAUUUCAUGCCUCAAAACAUACAAUUUCAUUAUCUCAUAAUCAAACCACAAUAUGUCAACUUUCAAGCAUCAACAUAUCAAUUAAUAACUAAUCAAGUGAGUAACCACCUAGCCAUAUCAACAACCAUGACAAACAUGCCAAAGUACAUGAAUACUUAUAUACAUCACAUAUAUCACUUAUCAAACACAUAAUUUAAGCCAACUUAAAUGGCCAUACAUACCAACAUUUACAUCAAAAGCAAGCCAAGUCUCAUGGCUAAUAUCAUGACUUAAAAAAAUACCAAAAUAACACUAGCCUAUACAUGCCAUAUACCAAAUAUACAAAGCUUCAAAAGUACCAACGAGAUGAUCGAUAGUGUGAUGAUGUUUCUCGAGUCCGAGCUAGCUUCGAUAAUCUAUAAAACAUGGAAAUAACACACAAAGUAAGCUUUAAAAGCUUAGUAAGCCAUGUAUAAAUAAAGCCAUCAUAUGAACAUUUGCAUAUCAAUUCAAAUAUGCUAAACAUAGCUAAUCAUAUUCAAAUUUACAAACCUUUCUUAUUGAACAUAUAUUCAAUAUCUUAAUCAAGUUCAUCAAAUACUUUCCCUUUUUAAUAUUCGUAUGAAUUUCAUACGUACCUGAGUCGUUUAACUCAUUAACACAUUCUUUCUUGACUUGUCUUUGCCCAUUGAAUCAUUCGGAAUCGUUAAGGAUACUCGGAAUCACAUAAAACUCGUACAAUGCCAUAUCCUAGAUAUGGUCUUAAAUGUUAUCACAUAUCGAUGCCACUGUCCCAGACAGGGUCUUACACGAAAUCGAAUAACGAUGUCAAUGUCCCAGACAUGGUCUUACAUGUAAUCACAUCUUGUAACUUAAUGUCAUGACAUUCGUAUCUUAUACUAUUCCUAAGGUUCGUACAGGACUUUUGGAUAUCGUAACUUUAUCGAUUCUUGCUCAUAAUUGUUCAUUCAACAUUUACAACCUUUCAAUUAUAAAUAUACACAUAUAAUUCAAUUUAAAGGCAUUCAUUUGUAUAUGAACUUACCUCGUAUUCGGGAUAAACGAAUUGGAUCGACUAUUCGAUAACUUUCGAUUUCCCUAGAUCUAAAUCUGAUUUCUUUCGUUCGUAGUAUAUAUAAAUUCAAAAUUAACUCUUUUAUUCCUCAAUUCAUUCAAUUUUAUCCAAAACACACAAUUUGAGAAUUUUACACAUUAACCCCUAUAAUUUCACAUUUUCUCAAUUUAGUCCCUAUUUCAUGAAAACACAAAAUUCAUGAAAUUCAAAUUAACCGAUGCUUGAAAAAAUUUCAUAGGGAGCUCUAGCAGCCUAAACUUUCAUUUAUUCACACUUUUAACCCACAUUUUUAUCUUUUCACAAAUUAAUCCCUAAUUUGUAUUUUCUCUAAAAAUCACUUAAUAAAACUUUAAUAUAUAUCAUCAAACUUUCAAAAUUCAUCAAAAAUAAUUCAAAAGCUCAAGCAUUCAUUAAUGGAAACUCACAAAUUCAUCAAAAAUUUUAGAAAUUAGGGUACGGGCUAGCUAGAUUACUAAGCAACGAUCAUAAAAACAUAAAAAUCAUCAAACAUCGAGCUCAAAACGUAUCUCAAUCAAGCCACACAAGUUCUGAACCCUAAAUGAGCUUCAAGCUUUUAUUUUCUUUUGAUUUUCUUUUAUUUUCUUUAAUUAACCUUUUAUUUUACUAAUUACCAUAAUAUCCUUAAUGAAAUUAUAAUAAAAAUUUUAUAUACAUGAUCAUAAAUGUCCAUUAACUAUUCCAAAAGUCUAAUUUCAAUAUAAGGACUUCACAUGUAAUCAACCAUAAUAAUUAAACACAUUUAACAUAUAGAAUACCAUUUUUGCAUUUUACGCGAUUUAGUCCUUUUUUGUCAAAUUGAGCUAUUAAACGAUAAAAUUAGCUACGAAAUUUUCACACAUAUAUAUUCACAUGCUGCAAACACAAAAAAUAAUAUUAAAAUAAUUUUACGACCUCAGAUUUGUGGUUUCAAAAAUACUAUUCUGAUUUCGCUAAAACCAGGUUGUUACAAGAUUACCUUAUUUUCUAAUACUUUCAAUUCAUUAAUCAUACACAAUGAUUUAAGACAAAAAAACCUUAAUUUUUGAAUGAAGAAAUAAACAAUUUAUUGGGAGGAGAGGGAUGCAAUUGAAAACCUUGAAAACUUUGGUUGCGAAUGUGAUUCGACAAUGGUGAAGAAGAAGAGAAAAUCUUGAGAGUUUUUCUUGAAAAAUUUUCUAAAUAAAAUUCCUAGGUUUCUGAAAAGAUUGACUACUUAUAGAACUUUUUUCCUAAUUGAAAUAGAAUUAAGAAUUAGUUUAUAAUUAUGGUUUAUUUAAAUUAAUGACUAAAUAAAAAAAUAGUUUUUGGUCUGGGCUAGUUUGAAAAUUCAGUACUUUAUAGGGAUAAAAAUAAAAAAUAAAAUAUUUUAGCUAAAUGCAAACAAGGGAUUAUGAACUUGAGACCAAAAGGAAAGCUAAGCUUUACCACUGAACUAGCAAACUCAUUCUUAACAUAAGCCUUCAAGAAAUUGUUUUUAAAGGUUAUGGCUAAGCAUUAAGGGAGUUUUUAAAAUAAUCGGCAAAUGGUGCAAAUAAAGGAGUUUAAACCUAGGACCUCUAGAAUAGGGGAAUAACACUUAACCAUCAAGCUUAAGGCUCAUUUCUUGUUAAUUAUUUAUUAAAAAUAAUUUUUAAGGUAUUCUAAGUUCACUAGGGUGUGAUAUAAAUAGAGGAUGAAGAGAAGUUCUACUGAAAUUAUGAAAAAGAUAGUUAUUCUAGUCAAACUAGGACUAAAAUUUGUAUACCUUAGUGUAUGGGGCUAGAUCAUUUUGCUGGCCUUUGGCGAUCCGUUCGUUCAAACUCGCCUAAGUCAGCCUUUACUCAACUGAGGAUUCCUUAAGAAGUCCUCCAAGGCACCAAUUGUAGAGCAGAAGCAAUUUAUGCCAAAAGAACAACAGAAAGAACACACAUAGAAGCGAUUUAUGCCAUAUCAAAUCCUAUUUAAUCUUUACAAGAUAUGAUUCCCUCUAUCUUCUAAAAGUAGUUACCAAAUUUUCAAUGGAAUUAAAAAAGGAAGGGUGUAGCUUGAACUUGGGCAAAUGGAAAGGGAAUUAGCAUGUUAACCAUUAGACCUAAGUCUAUUUCUUGUUUAGUUUUUAGUGUGGUUUUUAUCCUAGGGUGCUAAAUAUAAAAGGAAAAAAAAUUGAAAGGAAUGAGAUUUGAACCUAGGAUUUCUAGGAUGGGUGCACUAUCAUUUUAAUCAUUCGACCUAUAUAUUAUUUUUUGUCUAUUUAUUAAGAUUAACUCCUUAUAUUUUGGGGCAUGACAUUGCUAGAUUUCAAUUCCAGACUCAAAUAAUUGCAAUUUUCAAUUAGGAACUUAAUUGAUUUUAAAUUAUUUUACGUUUUUUUUCAUUUAUGUUGAAAAAAUUUUAAGUCAACAUUUUAACUAAAAUAAUUAACGAGGAACUUUUUUUUUUGAUUAAUUGAUAUAAAAAUAAAGAAACUAGAUUAUAUCAAAUUAAAAUAUAAAAAAUGUAAAUAUAAUAAAAAGACUAAAACCAAAAUUUCAAUAAUAGAUUGAAAAUUUAAGGCUCCAUUUGAUUUCUUACAGUAUUUUAUAUUUAUAUUUUUAGUUCUCAUUUUUCAUUUUUCAUUUUUCAUUUUUCAUUUUUGAAAUUUG